AGUCCCUUUGUCCCUCUUCUGUCCUCAAUGUACUGUACAUAAACUAAAUUCCCAUUCAUUCAUGUAUUAACCAUAGCUUAAGGGUCUCUUUCAGAAAUAAAUUUCUGGCUGUGGUGGAUCGUGGGAACUGGGAAGUGGAAUUUCAGAGAGCUGAUGGAGGAAUUACUAACCAAGGACGGUUAAUUUGGAUAUAUUCUGUUACUUGCACUAGAACAGUCUUGCCUAAGUAGAGAAUAGGUCUGAGUGCUGAGUGCUCCUGUGGUAACUUGUGACUGUUGGAUCCAGCUAAAACAUGUAUACUUUGCUGUGUGGAUUUUUAUGGUUCUGUACAUUUCUCUGCAUGUUUGUCUCCCACUCUAUUAUUACCUCCCACAAACAAUAUCAUGACAUUAUGAUAAUUGUUUUUUAAGUAUUUAGACGGGAAUAUGAUACUUAGCUUGAAAUUCAAAAUCUCUUCAUGGUAUUUCAAUGUUAUCUCCUGCACAGUCCUUUCAUAUAAAUAGUCAAGCUAUUAUUCUCGUAAUAGUUCGGAAGAUAAGCAAUUAUUCCUCACUGAAUCAAACACACAGUGAGAUGACAUUAUUAAAUGGUCAUGCUUUUGGAUAGAAUGCAGAUAUUGCUGAUGUAUUCAUGCCCACUGACUUUUGGUAGAUUUCCUUCAAAAUGUACAAAAGAUUAAUGUUUUGGAGGUGUGGGGUUGGGAAAGGAGAGGAAUGAUAUAGUUAUAUUCAUACUUCAAGUUGUAAGAGAACGCCCGGCACUUAGUGAACUGCGAAGGAAGAAUAUUGAAACACUAGCUUAUGACAAUCUAAAACGUUUUGUUAAGCUGGAUAACCGGGCAAGGAUCAAGGAGAAUAACUCUGUGAAGGCAAAGAACUGAUUUCAAUGGUCAAAAAGAGAAACUCGGGGGAUGGGUGGCUGAAAUGACAGUGUGGUGUUUUUCCAUUUCUUUUUAUUUCUUGUAGUUCUCAGUCUUCUGAGUAAUUGGCUUACAUUAACGGGACAAAUAGUUGAAUGAUUUUGAACAUUUGUUGUUUCUUUUCCUUCUACUUUUUAGUCUGUUUUUUUUUUUUUUG
rnacentral:sRNA from 1 species